rnacentral:rRNA from 1 species
AGAUUAAGUUAUUAAGGGCGCACGGUGGAUGCCUUGGCACUAGAAGCCGAUGAAGGACGUUACUAACGACGAUAUGCUUUGGGGAGCUGUAAGUAAGCUUUGAUCCAGAGAUUUCCGAAUGGGGAAACCCAGCACGAGUUAUGUCGUGUUAUCUGCAUGUGAAUACAUAGCAUGCAAGAAGGCAGACCCGGAGAACUGAAACAUCUUAGUACCCGGAGGAAGAGAAAGAAAAAUCGAUUCCCUGAGUAGCGGCGAGCGAAACGGGAAGAGCCCAAACCAAUAAGCUUGCUUAUUGGGGUUGUAGGACACUCUGUACGGAGUUACAAAAGAAUUUGUUAGACGAAUAACCUGGAAAGGUUAAUCAGAGAAGGUAAUAAUCCUGUAGUCGAAA